rnacentral:snRNA from 1 species
GGGUCUCGAGACCAAUACUGCAU